rnacentral:pre_miRNA from 20 species
GACCGCACGGGAUAAUCGAUUAUCCCGUGCGGUUGACUUAACAUGACCGCACGGUAUAAUCGAUUUUCCCAGGCGGUC